CCGAUUUAUCGUUUCGGAUACUUAUUGUUUAACAUAAGCUAGUUGCAUUUUUUUUAAUAUUAAGCGAAAUUCAUAGACUUAAAUUUCUUCUCUUAUAAUAUACUGCCUCAGCAAAUAGAUAUGCAUUUUGGUUUAACUUACAUGCGCGAAAUGUUCAUGGGGAAAAUUAUGUUUUUGAAAUGUUAACUAGUGCUGUUAAACUCAAAAUGGCACUGUGCAGCUUCUUAUCACACUGUUAACACCAAUGAUAAACCGUUGUGAUUUGAAUUUCUCUGAUUGGAAGGAGCUGGAAUGUACGAAUCCAAUUGAAUUGCUAGUCGCCAAGUAUUUUGUGUGGGCGUCUGCGACAUCCACUGUACGUACGCUGGCUACAUACAGUUGACUGCAUAAGUAAGCGCUUGUGUUAUCUUAUAUACUACCGCUCGCCACAACUGUCGAUGCCAGCGACGAGGCUUGCUUUAUCACUGGCUGCAGCCAUGUGCGAAACCCUCGGCUGGCUCUGGAGUCGAUGCUCAGUCGUUAUCCAGAGACCGAUGGGCGCACAUUAAAUUAGAAUAACUGAAAUUCUUAAGCCAAAAACAAAAAAAAAAACGCACACUCUGAACUUGAGAAAUAACAAUGUCGACCAAGAUAAAGACAUUGAUUUCCGGUCGUGGGCUGCUGACGAUCUUGCUGGUAUUCCUGCUCGUUUCCGUGCCAAGCGCCAGUUCCCAAAAGGAUGACGCAGAGGGAAGCGGCUCGAAGGCGGCCAAUAUCAGUGCACUCGAUCGGCUGCAGAUGAAUCUGUUCAUCAACUACGACGUGAACGCCGAGCCCACUAUGCAGGGCAGGCCGACAAACAUAAGUCUGGGCCUCUCGGUGAACUAUAUAGAUAUCGAUGAGCUGAACGGCAAGAUCACGCUCCACUGCUGGCUGAGCGUCCGCUGGCAGGAUGAUGACCGCUCCUGGAAUAUACUGCAGUACGACAACAUUACCAAGCUGCAUAUACCGGACCAUAAGGUGUGGAAGCCGCAGAUAACGCUCUUCAAUGCCGCCGCCGAUGAGGUCAACUAUCUGGUUAGCACCCAGGUGAUACUGUCCAACGAUGGCAGCUUCCUCUGGGUACCGCCGGCUGUCUAUACGGCCUAUUGCAAUCUGAAUAUGAUUAAUUGGCCAUACGAUGAGCAGACGUGCAAGCUGAAGAUUGGCACCUGGUCGCUGAGCCACCUUCAGGCAGAAUAUAAUGCGCAUAACAAGAAUGCGCUCGACUAUGAGGAGCUGGUGCAGUCCACGGAGUGGCAAAUUGUUAGUGGCUGGACACAGUUUGUGCAUCAGGACUAUUAUAGCUAUGUGGAGUUCAUAUUUACGGCGCAGCGACGCUCCUCUAUGUACACGGCCGUCAUCUAUACGCCAGCCACGUGCAUUGUGCUUCUGGCGCUGGCCACCUUCUGGCUGCCGCCACAGAUGGGCGAGAAGAUAAUGCUCAAUGGCAUACUUAUCCUAUUGAUUGCCGGCUUUCUCAUGUACUUUGCCCAGCUGCUGCCGGUGCUGGCCGGGAAUACGCCGCUCGUGGUCGUCUUCUACAGCGCCAGCCUGCUGCUGCUUAGCAUAUCCACUGUUAUUGAGGUCGUGGUGCUCUACCUGGCCACGGCCCAGCACAAGCGCCGCGUGCCGGACUUUGUGAAGCGGCUGCUGCACGGCAAAUUGGGCAACUGGCUGCUGCUCUCGCAGUUCAUCAACGUGACUGAGUUGCCCGCCUCGCAGCAGGGCAAUGGCAUUGCCAAGGAACUGGAUGAGCACGUGUAUGAUAAUGCCGAUGAUCUGAUGACCAGUCCGUUGGACAUCAAUCCCAGCGAAGCGCCGUCGGCGCGCGCCCUUCAGUUCGACUGGGUGCUGCUGGCCACCGCCGUGGAUCGACUAUGUUUCAUUGGCUUCAGCCUGGUCUAUAUUGUGCUGGCCAUCGUUUAUGCCAUCUAAUAUUAUGUGUACUCCAUCGAAUUUUAUUAAAUACAUACCGUUUUGUUCUUAACAUUUGUAAGCACCUUCUCGAAUCAAGCUUAAUUGCGUCAAAAUUAAUGCCAAAUCAGAACGUACCAUAAAAACGGUUGCACAUCAAAAUUUCAAAAGCAAAAAGGAAUGCUAGUCAAUGAACCUAACCUCAAACCGGAAUC